GAUGUACUCCUUCCGUCCGGAAUUACUUGUCGAAGAAAUGGAUGUAUCUAGAUGUAUUUUAGUUUUAUAUACAUCCAUUUUUAUCCAUUUCUAUGACAAGUAAUUCGGGACAGAGGGAGUAUGUC
rnacentral:pre_miRNA from 1 species